rnacentral:rRNA from 1 species
GACGAACGCUGGCGGCGCGCCUAACACAUGCAAGUCGAACGGAAUCAAGAGGAGCUUGCUUUUCUUGAUUUAGUGGCGAACGGGUGAGUAACGCGUGAGUAACCUGCCCUGGAGUGGGGGACAACAGUUGGAAACGACUGCUAAUACCGCAUAAGCCCACGGUGCUGCAUGGCACUGCGGGAAAAGGAUUUAUUCGCUCUAGGAUGGACUCGCGUCCAAUUAGCUAGUUGGUGAGGUAACGGCCCACCAA